CCACGUUCUGUGAAGUUUGGGGCCCCUUGGACCCCCGGGGGCUGAAAGGUGGGCGGUGACACGUGUGACUUGUUCCAUUCGUCUUUUACAGGUGCUUUGUGGACAGCGGCCGAUUCCCCCGAAACCGACAUAUGCGUCACGUCACUGUCCCCCAGAGAUGCCCCCGAAGUCCGGGCCUUAUUGGAAGGGACUGAUACAGAUGGAGGUUCAGUGCCCAAUGUGUGCUGCAAAGGUGUUGCACCUCAGGCACCAGGCAGAUCACGCUGCAGCUGGCCAGGGGAAGGGUCUCACUGCGGGACUUGAGGUGUUCUGCAUGCGGGAUCAAUUACAGCUGCAUCGACUGCCACCUCCAGUCGAGUCAUCCGGAACUCACGACAAAAAGAUGAAAGCUGUGGACAGCUUGAGGUCAGUGUGGACCAGCUGAAAAAAUUAAGGGCCAAAAACGCUACAGUAAGGCUGGUCUCACACAUGGAUGACCUUGAAGCAGGGGUGGCGAGUCAGCUGGCACUCCCCCAGCCGCAGCCUCCGGAGAGACAGGCGAUGCUCCCCCAGCCUGCAGAGGAAUGUCUGCAGUUUCUGGGAGAAUUCGAAAGCACACUGGACCACCAGAUGACCGUGAGCCUGCAAGAUCUACUGCGAGAUCCGAUCCUUACACUUGGCAUGGAUGACAUGGACUUGGCCACAGUCAACCGCCGAAUUUUUGACAUUUUGAAAAGAUGUAUAUAGUUUUGACGUUGUGUUGUUCCGCUUUCAAAAAAAAUAUUUAAUAUUUUAAUAAUUUUGUUUUGAAUGUUUUUUUUACUUCAUUGAAAUGUUUCUUUUACAAGCUCUUAGAUAUUCGAGUUUUUUUUUAAA
ensembl:lncRNA